UAGGGAAUUUUCCACAAUGGGGGCAACCCUGAUGGAGCAACGCCGCGUGCAGGAUGAAUGCCUUCGGGUUGUAAACUGCUUUUAUGUGUGAAGAUUAUGACGGUAGCACAUGAAUAAGGAUCGGCUAACUCCGUGCCAGCAGCCGCGGUCAUACGGAGGAUCCAAGCGUUAUCCGGAAUUACUGGGCGUAAAGAGUUGCGUAGGUGGCAUCGUAAGUCUGUAGUGAAAGCGUGGGGCUCAACCCCAUACACAUUAUGGAAACUGCGAAGCUAGAGGACGAGAGAGGCAUCUGGAAUUCCUAGUGUAGGAGUGAAAUCCGUAGAUAUUAGGAGGAACACCGAUGGCGUAGGCAGGGUGCUGGCUCGUUCCUGACACUGAGGCACGAAAGCGUGGGGAGCAAACGGGAUUAGAUACCCCCGUAGUCC
rnacentral:rRNA from 1 species